rnacentral:hammerhead_ribozyme from 1 species
GUCCACCUGACGAGUCCUGAAUAGAACGAAAAGCGCAUCCUGGAC